rnacentral:rRNA from 1 species
CCUACGGGUGGCAGCAGUGAGGAAUAUUGGUCAAUGGGCGGAAGCCUGAACCAGCCAAGUAGCGUGCGGGAUGAAGGCCCUACGGAUCGUAAACCGCUUUUGCACGGGGAUAACACCCGCCACUUGUGGAUGUCUGCAGGUACCGUGCGAAUAAGGGCCGGCUAAUUCCGUGCCAGCAGCCGCGGUAAUCCGGAAGGCCCGAGCGUUAUCCGGAUUCAUUGGGCUUAAAGGGAGCGUAGGCGGGCGUUAAAGUCAGCUGUAAAAUCGCGCGGCUCAACCGCGCCCCGCAGUUGAAACUGGAUGGCUUGAGUGCACAAGAGGUAGGCGGAAUUCGUGGUGUAGCGGUGAAAUGCAUAGAUAUCACGAGGAACCCCGAUUGCGAAGGCAGCCUGCCGGGGUGCGACUGACGCUGAGGCUCGAAGGUGCGGGUAUCAAACAGGAUUAGAUACCCCUGUAGUC